CGGAGAUAGUCGAUGUAUUACGAUUGUGACCGCGCAUGGUUGCGGAAAGACUCAUGAGAUUACUCACUUCGCGAUAUGAUUCUAUCGAUAAUAGUAACUUUUAUUCCGUCUGAUGUCCAACGAAGAAUGAAAAUGCCUUCUGAACAUUGAAUGCCAAGUUUGAUAUAUCACAAUGGCGAGCUUCAGGGAUGUUUUCACAGACGCGGAAAUGACCAAUUGGUUGAAAGCAUGGCUCGGACUCAAUAUCACCAAGGCUGGCUUACUGAAUUUUGUUGAAACAGAAAUGAAACAACUCAAAACAGAUCUAUAAAAAGUGUACUUUUAAAUACAAACCUUUCGUUGACUACAGCUUGUACUUCUUGUUCCACUGCAAAUCUGUUGAAGUGUCCAAUUAAAGGCCUGUGUAAAAGAACAGGCAAUACAUGUAGCAUACAUACCGAUGCUACAAAACAAUUCAGACAAUGUCCAAACAGAAUAUGCGACGGAAUUCGUGAUGCAAUUAUAAAGGCCCAUCGAUUUAAAUGUCCAUCUUGGAAGAACACUUUAGCAGAACAAUGGACGUGUAACCACUGGGAAAUGGCAAAAUGUUUUAUGCCUCCAGAUGGAUAUACUGGAGUGAAUUCGAUUCAAAAUACCGAUUUCAACGGAAUAAUUAAUGUUUUGCUGAACUGUCAAAACUUCGACACAAAGGUUUCGUUCAAAAUAGGGUCUGGGCGACCGCCUCAACCUUGUUUUUUAACUCAGGCUCGUGACAUGGGUAAAGCUAUCCGGCAUUCUUCUACGUGCAAAGUGACAAGUGCUGACCUCCAGAAACUCUUCAUUAUAUUCAUUGGUAUAUUAACUGAUUCGCAGCUUCUCGCUCAAGAUCCCGAUGCACAAGAAGCAGUUACUAAAUUAAAACAGCUACAGACUGACAGUCUGAACAUUGCAUCAGUGGAAAUGGUACAGUUGCUAAGGGAAGCACAAGAGGUAUUAAUAGAGGCUAAACAGGUGGCACAGGAUUCAAAGCUUGAGAUACGGACUUAUAUAGAGAAAGUAGAAGGACAUAUACAGUUGUUAAAUAGUCGUGUAAACAAAUGUGAUAGUCGUCUAGACAAAUUAGAACAGAAAGUUCAACAUUUGCAAACAAGUAAGGAUUCGGGGGAAAAGACGAAUUCGAAAGACUACAAUCAAGAUGUUCUUGAUUACGAUACUUGUCAACGAGUACUGAGUAGAGCUCAUAACGAGCUGGUAUGUGAUCUGGAUGUUGAAAGAGCUCUGGAGGCUGUUCGAUCUGAACUGCUUGAACAGGACAUCAAAGACAUAACAAAUAUGUUCACACCAGAAGCGAAGGUCCGUGUCCUGAUACGGCGAAUAAGUAAGGGAGGUUUAAAAGCUUAUUCUAAAUUUAAAGAAUUCCUGAAAAAUAACCACGAACGGUUAUUUCAAACUAUUGAAAUGCACGAAAAGCAAUUGUGGAUGGAAAAGAAAGAUCAUUUGUAUAUAGCCGGAGACGAAGAUAGCAAAUGGACAAAUACGCUUCUCAACAACGUUUCACUGGAUUCAACUAAAACUAAUAUUCUGUCAGGAAAUAAACGUGGAAGUGACACAACCGAUGAUCAAGAAGGCGAUGAACCCGAACAUAUUGCAGACUAUGUUCAUGAUGGAAGACUUUUGGAGUUGAGUGGAAAGCAAAUAACGCACUUGAAGAAAUAUAAAUUCGAACAAAAGCCAAUAAGUCAAGGCGCAUUUGGAAUAAUAUUUAUUUCCCGUGCUGACGUUAUUCCAUUUCAACAACGUGUUGUUCUUAAGGAGAUCAACGUAGGCGAUGCCGGAGAAGAAAGAACCCAAUUUCGAAAAUCUGUCACAAACGAAAAGCUAGCUUCUCGUGUCAUGCAUUUUGGCAUUUUACCACUUUUGGCUUAUCACGACGACCAUAAAAACGGGAAGUACUAUUUUAUUUCGCCGUACCUCGAAAAAGGCGACCUUUACGAUACAAUCAAGUCUGACAGAGAAAAAAUAAAAAAGAACCAAACGCAUCUUCUCGAAUGGAAGAUCCGUAUGAAGGUUAUGUACCAAGUUGCCUCCGCAAUUGACUACAUGCAUACUGGAAAUCCGUACAGAGGAACAAUCUUGCAUAUGGACAUAAAAUCAAAAAAUAUUCUACUCGACUCGCAAUUUAACGCGAGGCUGAUUGAUUUUGGACUAGCCCGAGAGUUGAAGGAAGGAUGUAGUUCAGCCACGAUGACCGCUGUUUUUUGUGGAACCGAUGGAUAUUUUCCAACAGUUAAACACGAUCAACUGACACGAGAACAUGACUAUCACAAUUUUGGAGUCGAAAAAAAUCUGGAAAGAAAAGUAUAUUGCUGGUAAGGUUGCCGUAAUUGCUGAUCAAUGCAUUGACAGCAUUAAGUUCCAGAGCAAAGGCGCUACUUCAAAGACACUGUCCAACAGAUCGGAGGGAAACAUCUUAAAAGAAAAAGAUAUUGCAGAGGAUAUUACCAGAAAUGCUGAUCAAGGCAAUGAAAGUACAAAGGCACGGAUUAAAGCAUUUACAUCCAAGGAAUUGUACGACAGUUUGGAGAAAUUGCUGAGAAUUGAAGCGCGUGCCCCGAAGUGGACACCUAUUGACAAUAAAAAAUGCGAUCUUUGUAUCACUAACACAUCUGUGGAAGGCGUAAAAACUGCGGAUUGUUCACAUGGAAUGAAGACGUGUUGUGCCUGUAUGCGGAAUUCCCACAUCAAUCCUAUCAAAUGUUACGAGUGUGGCCAAGUGAUAAAACCCUUGAUAGUGAUGGAUGGGGGGCAAUUUUAGUUGCCGGAUAUGACGUAACAGGGCGCGAAAUGUUCAGCAAAGACGUGCAGCAGUUUGGAGACGUUAUCACAAGCACCGUUUUACCAACUAUGUGCAUAAGCAAAAGUCUGUGUGAAUACAUUGAUUUUAAUUCGCCCACAACCAUACCUGUUGCAUUUAGGAUUGAAAGUGCGUUUGAAAAGUUAAAUGCGAAGGGCAUCCACACUUUGGUGUUUAUUUACUCAGGACACCACGACACUGAAACGGGAUUUUUAAUUGGCAAGAAUGAAUAUUUUCCAACAAACAAAAUUAAUGAAUGUAUACAAAACAUGCGAGGAGUAAAAACUGUUAUAGCGUUUUUGGAUUGCUGUCAGGCCAAGACUAUUGACGUGAAAGAUAUCUGUCUUAUUCAAUUUAAUGCAACAGGACCAAACGCCGUUGCUAUAGGCCUCCGAGAUGAAGGUAGCUACUUUACCAAAUACUUGCUGCAAGCAUUUACAUUGAAGGCGUCAGGUGCCCAGUGUAGUCAGUGCGGUUCUAAAUGUAAAUUGGAUGGGGACUUCAUAACAUUGGGAAAUUUGUGGACUUACAUAGGAAAUCAUAGGAGUGGUCUCAAGUCAAUGGAGCCACAUCUAAAUACAAAAAAUAUUGAAUGGCGUACAACAUACCUUGCUUAUAAUUAUGCCUCUAAAGUGGAAUUUCCAUUCGAGGUCAGCAUUGAUGAAUCAUUUUCGAAAUCGAUAAAUAUAUUGGCAUCUGGCUUGAAGGACUUCGAAGCAUUAAAAUCUCAACAGCUUUUUCCCGUACUUGUUGACCUGCUAACGGAGAAAUUUCAAUGCAAACCAAAAGAGCCCAUAACGCUUUUAUCAAAAUACGCGAACAUUUUAUCCAUCGAGGUAGAUUUUGCCUCGCGCAACACGGACGACAUUGACACCAUGGAAAAACUUGUUAUGGCGUGGAACUCAAAACGUUUGCUACGAUGUAAACCUAGGCUGUGCACGCGAAUUGACAACGGCAAGCCUGUAGGACUUUUUCUGAAGCAAGGCAAACUUGUUGCUAAAAUGGUGUCUGAAAUCGGUUACACAACGAACGCAUAUACAUUUCCCGAACUUGUACGAUUAGUACAAUUUCUGGAGGAAGAGGAAGACGCAUUACAAAAUCAAGAAUUGCUAGACUCAUCGUUGGGCGAAUUCAUCGAUGCAAUAUCCAACAUUACCAAAAAAGCAAGUGAAAAGCUAACGGAAAAAAGAAUACAUAUAAACUUUAUUGAUUUUUUUGUCGACAAAUCCGUUUGCUUAGUUCACCUGGAGCUACAAGACUAAACAUCCAAAGGCAAAAACAGACGAUGAUUAUUGAGUGUAUCUACCUAUUCAUUGUCAAGAGCUUAGGCUAAACUGUAAAAGGGUUGCGGUGUCAUAAAGGUUUGCUUAUUCGGAUAACUAACGUGCAAAUUUGCAUCAUACUCGUUACAAAUGCUACUUAGUUGUGCAUCCAUCUGUUACCGAAAUACGCUUAUGGUUGUAAUGCCUCUCUGUGCGUGUGUGUGUGCGUGCGCGUGUGCGAACGUGCGUGUGUGUGCAACUUAUGAACGAUAGAAAAUGAAAUAAUAGAAGGUACUAAACUAAUUUUUAUCCACGUCUACUUGAUCCACGUCUUUAAUAAUGUAAUUGUAUUACAAAUUUAUUAUUGAUUGUUCGUAUUUUUAAUUUAACAAAAACAGCGUUCUCGUUCAAACUGGUUGAAUACGUGUAAUUUCCCUGAUAAUAUUUUUCCUGUUGCGAAGUUUUUUUCAUGUCGUUAUAUUUUAUAUAAUCAAUUUACAAAGACAUGUACAUGCAUAUACUUAUUUUUUUUAACAUAUGUAUUAUGUUUUAACUAUGUAAUGACUAUCAAAAUUAUUUCACAAACUUAAUUUCUAUAUAAUUCCUUAUUGCUUUUUAGCACAUUUAACUUUACUUAAAUAAUAUUUUAUAUUUAUUUAUGUAUAACACAAGUGAUUCUUAACAAAAAAGGUUUCCAGAUUAAGAACUUCACUUUAACCAGUAUUACAAUGUUCAAAGUACAUAAAACCAUACUAUGUUAGAUUUUCUAUUUGCAUUUGUAAUGGACAUUAUAAACAAAAAUCAGAAAUGUGACUUUAAACAAAGAGUUCAUUAUUACAACACAAUCAAUUAUAGUUUUAAUUUCCAAUGUGCAAAUAACGAAAAUAAACUUAAACAAGUAAACACCACAAUGUGCAAGUUGCAUAAGUUGGCUAUGAGGUUAAAAUCAUUUUUUUAAUGCAAUUAUCAAUUACAUUUAAAUCAGAGUUGCAAGGUUGACAACAUUUAUUUUUGAAUGAAUGAAAUUAUGAAUUUGAAUUAAAUAUUCUUAUAACUGUCCAAAACUACUCCUUUAUUUGAUUCACUCGUUGUGUUUGCAUAAACAUUUAAAGCAAGUCUUAGAUCAGCUUUAAAUUAUUGAAAAUUUUGCAUUCAAAAAUGUACUUUUUCACUUCCAUUCAAAGAAUAAAGUAUUUGUCAUUUUAUGGUUCAUUAGUAUUGCCAAGAAGUAAGAUUUUGUAGUUUAUUACUAUUUGUACAUUUGCAUUUUUUAACAUAUCAGAUAAAUCUUUAAUGAGGUUUUGUACUUCAUAACACUCCCAGAAUAAAUGGGUAAUUGAUUAUUCUGACUUUUUGCAAAUAGUACAUGUAUUACUAUCCGAAAAGCCCAUUUUAAAAAGAAGGGAGUUUGUGCCCAAUAUUCUGUGGAUAAUCCUAGUUUGUAGCCAUUGCAUAUAUGUAUUAUUCGUGGUUUUGAAUACUUGUCCAUUAACUUUUUUCCAUUGUAUGGAAUAAUUUUCAAAAUAUUCAUUCCAUUUGGUUUGGCAUGUUGGUGUUUCAGAGUUUCAUUUUAACAUAUUGUAAAAUAACUUUUUGCAUGAGUUUAGAAUUAUUGGUUUUAUAUAGGUCGACAAAAUGGGAUAUGAAUGUACUUUAUACUGUUCUAAAUUGACGUUUUUUUACUGAGGCAAAGUAUGCACAUAGAACCCUUUUUAUGCUUUCAUAAUGCAUAAAAUUUACUGGUUUAUUCAUUUUGAUUUGAAGCUUUUGUAGUGACAAUAACUGUCCCUAGUCUUUAAUAAUAUCUUUAACAUACUGAAUGCCAUUAUCAUACCAAUAUUUCCAAAAAUGUAUUUAUUGUUGAUUAAUAAACAGUUGUUGAAAAACCGAGGUAUAUCUAAAAGUUGACCAAUAUAAUCUAUGCAAAUACUUUUAACAUAGUCAGAAUAUAUUGUUAGAUACAUCGAUCCAAAAUGUAUUGGUUAUUUUUUUUAUUGCCGAGAUUGCAUAUAAACUGCUGUUUUACAUAGUGUGUUAAAAUCUAUAAAUCUAUCUAGCUAAGAAUGAAAAUGUGUUCUGGCCCUGAAUGACUUUUCUCAUCCAUGAUAAUAAUAAAGUUUUCAUAAAUGCAUUGAUGUCCACCAUUUCAAGUCCCCCUUCAUCAUUUGAUUUUUUUGAAGGUCACCGCCACACAAAUUUGACUAAUUUAUCGUUUAGAUCCUUACAAAUAGCAUCUCCGGGUUGUGGCAAAGGGGCGAAAAGGUGAAUAAAUAAUGAAAGUAUCAAGGUCUUAACAACAGUUAUUCUACCUAAGGGAGAUAGAUCUCUUAUGUUCCAAUGUGAAAUGAUAUUUUCUAAUUUAACUAGUUUGUCAUUAUAAUUUAGCUCAAUCAUUUUAGGUAGAUCAACAUCAAAAGAUAAACCUAGUAAUUUAAAUUUGGUACAUCCACACACUAGUUUCCACCUUGUUUUAUGGAUCUUGUGCUAUAUUUUAAGGACCCUAUCCACACAACAUGUAGUUGUUAUUUUUCCAAAUUUACCUUUAGGCCUGAAAAUUCGGAAAAUGAAUAUAACAAUUGUAGUGCCAUAUUUAAGGAUUCUUCUGACCCAUACAUUACCAGAUAAGUAUCAUCUGCAAAUUGUGAUAUCUUGUAUUCUUCAUUGUCAAUUGUUAUCCCUUUUAUUAUAAUGCAUUUGCUUAUUUUAAGUGCUCGUAUUUCUGCACAAAGUAAAAAUAUAUGCUGAAAUAGGGUCUCCCUGAUGACAACCACGUGUUAGUAUGAAGAAGUAUGGCAAAAAAAACAUUCAACUGCAUUGCAGUUUCCAUAUUAUUAAAUAAAGUGUUAUCCAGUUUUUAAACAUAGGUCCAAAGUUAAAAAAAUCAAACACCUGCUUUAUAAAACUGAAUGAUAAGUAUCUAAUGCUUUUUCAAAAUCAAUUAGCAUCAGUAGUCCAGGGAUUUGAUUGCAUUCAGUAUAGUUCAUACUAUCAUAUAAUAACCGCGUAUUAUCUCUCAAUUACCUGCCUUUAAUGAAACCAGUUUGGUCACUAUUUACUAAUUGUUUCAAGACUUACUUAAGUCUAUUAGCUAUCGUGCCUGAUGCGAGUUUAAACAAUGCAUAUUGGUCUCCUUUUUUAUUUAAAUUGUUUAUGCUUUCCUUCUUUUGGAAUACAUGUUAUAAGUCCCUGUUUCUGUGUUAUUCAAAUUGACCCUAUAUUGGAUAAUUAAUGCUUCUAACCACAAAGGCACCAAUAUUUUCCAAAAAACGUUAACGAAAUUUGCAGUGAUUCCAUCAGAUCCUGGACUUUUGUCAUUUUUCAUAUGUUUAAGGGUAUCUGAAAUCUCUUGUAAAGAAAGAAAACCCUCCAACAAUUUUGCUUCUAAAUUGCUUACUUAAUUUAGGUUUUUCAUAUUUUUUUAUUUCGUGUUUGAGAUCAUAAUCGGUAGUGGGUUGUUCUGAAUAUAACAUUUUGUAAAAGCAGUUUGCUUCUUUCAUAAUAUUUUUAGGUUCAUAUAUUAAUGUUCAAUCUUCUUUCUGAAUGCAAGAUAUAUAUAUUU